GUACUUCUGAAGAGUCCCAAACUAGGACGAAACGGUUGUCAAGUAC
rnacentral:hammerhead_ribozyme from 1 species